rnacentral:rRNA from 1 species
AGUGAACGCUGGCGGUAGGCCUAACACAUGCAAGUCGAACGGCAGCACAGUAAGAGCUUGCUCUUACGGGUGGCGAGUGGCGGACGGGUGAGGAAUACAUCGGAAUCUACUUUUUCGUGGGGGAUAACGUAGGGAAUCUUACGCUAAUACCGCAUACGACCUACGGGUGAAAGCAGGGGAUCUUCGGACCUUGCGCGAUUGAAUGAGCCGAUGUCGGAUUAGCUAGUUUGCGGGGUAAAGGCCCACCAAGGCGACGAUCCGUAGCUGGUCUGAGAGGAUGAUCAGCCACACUGGAACUGAGACACGGUCCAGACUCCUACGGGAGGCAGCAGUGGGGAAUAUUGGACAAUGGGCGCAAGCCUGAUCCAGCCAUACCGCGUGGGUGAAGAAGGCCUUCGGGUUGUAAAGCCCUUUUGUUGGGAAAGAAAAGCAGCAGGUUAAUACCCCGCUGUUCUGACGGUACCCAAAGAAUAAGCACCGGCUAACUUCGUG